GGCGGACGGGUGAGUAAUGCAUAGGAAUCUGCCCAGUAGCGGGGGAUAACUCGGAGAAAUUCGAGCUAAUACCGCAUACGUCCUACGGGAGAAAACGGGGGACCCUUCGGGGCCUCGUGCUAUUGAAUGAGCCUAUGUCAGAUUAGCUUGUUGGUAGGGUAACGGCCUACCAAGGCGACGAUCUGUAGCUGGUCUGAGAGGAUGAUCAGCCACACCGGAACUGAGACACGGUCCGGACUCCUACGGGAGGCAGCAGUGGGGAAUAUUGGACAAUGGGCGCAAGCCUGAUCCAGCAAUGCCGCGUGUGUGAAGAAGGCCUGCGGGUUGUAAAGCACUUUUAUCGGGAAAGAAAAACCCAGGGUUAAUACCCCUGGCAUUGACGGUACCCGAGGAAUAAGCACCGGCUAACUCCGUGCCAGCAGCCGCGGUAAUACGGAGGGUGCAAGCGUUAAUCGGAAUUACUGGGCGUAAAGCGAGUGUAGGCGGCAACGUAAGUCGGAUGUGAAAUCCCCGGGCUUAACCUGGGAAUUGCAUUCGAUACUGCGUAGCUAGAGUCUGACA
rnacentral:rRNA from 1 species